rnacentral:rRNA from 1 species
AUUGAACGCUGGCGGCAGGCCUAACACAUGCAAGUCGAACGAGUGGCGGACGGGUGAGGAAUGUCGGGGAAACUGCCCGAUGGAGGGGGAUAACUACUGGAAACGGUAGCUAAUACAGCAUACCAUCGGAUGUGCCCAGAUGGGAUUAGAUAGUAGGUGGGGUAACGGCUCACCUGGGCGACGAUCCCUAGCUGGUCUGGUAGGAUGACCUGCCACACUGGAACGGAGACACGGUCCGGACUCCUACGGUAGGCAGCAGUGGGGAAUAUUGCACAAUGGGCUCAAGCCUGAUGCAGCCAUGCCGCGUGUAUGAAGAAGGCCUUCGGGUUGUAAAGUACUUUCAGCGAGGAGGCGUUACUCGCAGAAGAAGCACCGGCUAACUCCGUGCCAGCAGCCGCGGUAAUUC